rnacentral:tRNA from 1 species
UGUUCUGUGGCAGAGUUGGUAAACGCGCCCUAUCUAGCGAACUUGGGGAGACGUGGGUUCAAAUCCCACCAGACUAC